rnacentral:rRNA from 1 species
GCCUGUUUAUCAAAAACAUGGCUCUUCGUGGUGUAAGAGAUGGGGAGUCUGACACUGCCCGGUGAUGGUGGUAUUAAACGGCUGCGGUACUCUGACCGUGCAAAGGUAGCAUAAUCAUUUGCCUUAUAAUUGAAGGCUGGUAUGAAUGGUUUGACGAAAGUAUAGCUGUCUUUUUAUGAUUUUUUGGAAUUUUAUAUUUAGGUGAAGAAGCUUGAAUUUUAUUAAAAGACAAGAAGACCCUAUCGAGCUUUAGGUAAAUUAAUGGGUUUAAGGGUUUCUAAGAGUUAUUAGGAGAAUGCUGUUGAGGACUUUGGUUGGGGCGACUAGGGAACAGGGGAAGCUUCCUGAGUUAGAGUGGGAUUUGUUAAAUGUUGAUCCAGGAGGCUUGAUUAUUAGAAUUAGUUACCGUAGGGAUAACAGCAUUAUCUUUUUUGAGAGUGCGUAUCGAAAAAAAGGUUUGUGACCUCGAUGUUGGACCAGAAUAUCCUGAAGAUGUAGGGGUCUUUAAGGGUUGGUCUGUUCGACCAUUAAAAUUCUACGUGAUCUGAGUUCA